GCAACAACAACAACAACAACAACAGCAACAACAACAGCAACAACGACAGCGACACCCUCAGCACCAACAACGACACCCUCAGCACCAACAACGACAACAACAACAGCAGCAACAACAACAACAACAACAACAGCAACAACAACAGCAACAGCAACAGCAGGCUCUCCAGCACAUCAGCAGCGGCGCCACCACACUGACCAACGGCCUCGAGAGCUGUUGUGGAGGAGGGCCUCUGGUGGAGAUUCCGGCAGAGAACAGGGUCACUUGUGCCGCGGAGAUCCACAGACAGAAAAGUGUUACUGGACCCAGUACCACGGACAUACAUGGUCAUACAGAGACCACGUUAUAGGGGAAAGGGGAGAGAGAGGGAGGAGUGUGUGUGUGUGUGUGUGUGUGUGUGUGUGUGUGUGUGUGUGUGUGUGUGUGUGUGUGUGAUAAUGACGAUACAUAUUCAAAGUAAGAUAUCAGUUAAGAAGCAAAAAGUAAAAAUGGGUAAUAGCCUAUACUUUAUACUGAUUCGUCUUUCCUGCGAAAAAAAAUAAUAAUAAAGAAGCUUAAUGAUAUGAUCCCUA